GAUGAACGCUGGCGGCGUGCCUAAUACAUGCAAGUAGAACGCUGAAGGAAGGAGCUUGCUCUUUCCGGAUGAGUUGCGAACGGGUGAGUAACGCGUAGGUAACCUGCCUGGUAGCGGGGGAUAACUAUUGGAAACGAUAGCUAAUACCGCAUAACAGUAGAUGUCGCAUGAUAUCUACUUAAAAGGUGCAAUUGCACCACUACCAGAUGGACCUGCGUUGUAUUAGCUAGUUGGUGAGGUAACGGCUCACCAAGGCGACGAUACAUAGCCGACCUGAGAGGGUGAUCGGCCAGACUGGGACGGUGACACGGCCCAGAGGGCUUGGGGAGGCAGCAGGAGGGAAACGGGAGCAAGGGGCGGAAGACAGACCGAGAAACGCGGCGGGAGUGAAGAGGGUUGUCGGAUCGUAAAGCUCUGUUGUAAGGGAAGAAAGAGUGUGAGAGUGUAAAGUUCACACUGUGACGGUAUCUGACCAGAAAGGGACGGCUAACUACGUG
rnacentral:rRNA from 1 species